GCCUGGGUAGUUCAGUCCGCUGAGCGUCCGACUUCGGCUCAGGUCACUCACGAUCUCACGGUUUGUGGGUUCGAGCCCCACUCUGGGCU
rnacentral:tRNA from 1 species